UCAUAUCUCUUUUGUCUCUCUCAAUCUCUCUCAAUAAGAUGUCAAUUCCAUAUGAAAUUGAGAGCCCAAAACUAACUGGUUGGGAGAUCCAACCAUUUAUAAAAAAAGUUGAAGCAGGAGUUGCUGCAGAUCCCGAUUCAGCCAGAAAAAGAAAUGAAUGGUUUUGUAUUACUGAUAGAGUGCGAAAAUUCAUCGGGGUAAGUUCCAAAUUAUACAGAUGUGUGAAGAUUUCGAUUGUAUUAUAUUUUUGAAAUUUUUUUAAAAGGCUUCAUCUUAAAACAAAAAAUAAUGAAGGAGUUUAGAGAAAAGGUGAAAAA
rnacentral:lncRNA from 1 species